CCGUUCCGUCUUUGUUGUCCGCGGUCCUCCCGGUUGCGCCGUCACGUCACGUCACGUAACGUAACGUCACGUAUCGCGAGGUUUUCCGGUACGGGUGUCCGAAUCGUACGCCGAAAACAGUAAAAGGACAAAACAAGAAAAUUGCGGGAAAUCGUGCCGGAUCGAACGAUGAGCGUUUAGAUUGGAAUCGGGCUUUGUAAAAAGGGGUUGUUUGCCGUCACGCAAGGAGCACGUUUUCGCGCCAUUUUUUGAUACGAGUGUGCCGAUAACAAAAGGCGAAAAAAAUUUACCGGCUCAACCAUUUUUAUUUAAAUCGGAUGUAGUAAAAAGGGAUUUUAAAGAAAAAUUUUAUAAGAAAAUCGGGUAUAAGUUCAUUAUAAAGUUUGUACAAAGAUACAUCGUGGACCCCUUUCUAGAAAGUCGAUUCUUUUGUAGGGUUCAGUCGCUUUCUAUAGACGGACCGAGAAGUUCAAAAAUCUAAUCGUAAUUGCCGUACGCUGAUUGUAAAUCGUAGUGAAACAUCGAUGCAAUAAGUACAGGAUCACACAGUGACCAUUUUAUUUGCAUAGAAUUUAGUGACAUUUUUCAUUCAAUAUAUACCUAAGAUACUGUGAAUUUCUCCGUGUCCAGGAAUAUCUUCUUUGCCUUAUUACUCGUUAUCAUCCCGAUUUUUGAGUGUCGUGCGAUUUUUGAUCAACGUUUCCCGCUGGCAAAGUUGUUGAACACAAACCCGCGAAAGUGUUUUUUAUCAAGUGCGCAACAAUCUGGAACUUGCAGAUUUACAGUUUGUGAAUUUGCAUGAACAACGGUUUUCCUCGGCGUUGCAAAUAAAAGUGAAAUAGUUAAGGAUGCAGUCAUUACGUUAUGUGAAGCAUUCAGAUUUUUCCUGACGAUCUGUUUUUUUAAUAUACGGGGAAAUUAGGGGCAGAAAUCACCUCCGUUUGCUUGAAGUCAGACCACCACCUCAAAACCUCCCAAAACGAAUCACCCAAACCUGCAAAAUCGCAUACAUGUGCAAUUUCUUAAUUUUUUCAGCGUAAUGUAUGAACAUAAAUUAUAGUUCGUCUGAAUUCAUUUUAAGAAAAAUAUUGAUGAAAAGCCGACAAGAUAAAAGGAAAGAAUACAUAAAUGUACGAUUUUCACACCGUUGAUAAAAACAAUUUAUGCUCGCACUGUCCAGGUCUGACACUUACUUUUGAGUAGAAACACGGGCAAUUCUAUCAAGUUGGUAACACUGCUCGUGCUUCAUUCAGAAAUAAUCAAAUAUCGGCAAGCCUGCGUGGCUUGAUUUCAGGGACGAAUCACAGUGGUACCAACUUGUCAGAAUCGUCACUGGUAAAAGAACUCUAUUUGAAGAGGAAUUUCGUACAGAUAAUAUCAUGGUGUUUUAAAUAUAAGUUUUUUCAAGGGGAUCUCUCUAAAAACCGAUUACUUCUGCACUAGUGCGUAUGGUUUUUUCCUUUUUUUUAUAUGUUCCUUUUUUUCUCUUAUUUUGGAGGGGUGGAAGAGCUGUGUUUUCCCGGUUCAAUCUGAUAUUUCCGAAUUUCUACUUCUAAAUAUUGUUCAUUUUCUAUUUUAUUUUUAUCCAAUGAGUCUCGUGCACACACACAGUCUACAUAGUCCAAAAAUUACACAAAUCCAGACAAAUAUAUUUUGCAACAUGCCACCUUAAGACUCAGUUGAAAACAUAAAGACGUAAUUUUUAAUACACGCUCAAAAUUAUUGUGUAUACGCAUGGGGCCCAGAAAACUGCGACAAAAUUAAGGCGCUCCAUCAUUCAACGAUGCGGCAGAUUAAGCGGGCUUUCUUUGGAAGAAUUUAUAGUUUUCAUUCAUGUUGCUUGGAUUUGUUCGUUUUAAAUUUUUAGCUUGUAUUAAAUGUCAGGUUUUCCUUAGUUUUAUUUUUAAAUCAGUGAAAGGCGACACUUGGAAACGUCUCAGUUUUAAUGAAGGUUGACUUCUAUCUCAACAGUUUUCCUUUUGCGUAUUUUGGAGCGGAGUUUCCAAACCUCUGAUGGAUAAGACAGUCCAAGGGAAAGAAAAAUCUUGAUUUUUAGUAGUUUAGGUUCUUAGGUUUUGAUUGAGUGGUUUGGAGUACAGUUUAUGUGCCUUUAGGGGGUAUCUCGCGAUCCAUGCAUGAGCUAAAUUUCUCGAAAAAAAACACUUUAAAAUCGUUUGAAAUAGAUCAUAAAAAUUAUGAAAUUCCAUUGAGCCGGAAAUAUUAUUUACACUGAAAAUAAAUGGCUU
rnacentral:lncRNA from 1 species